GGCUUUGACACCUCNCAGUAACGAAGGNAACGGCAUGAANUCCGAUCCNCUCUGGGGAGUNCGCNCCCCAAGGUUNAAACUCAAAANGGAUUGACGGGGACCCCGCNACAAGCGCUGGNCUUAUGUGGACNAAUUCGAUGCAACGCGAAANACCUUACCUACCCUUGACAUGUCCGAGAGCCCGUAGAGAUAUGGGUGUGCCCGAAAGGGAAUCGGAACACAGGUGCUGCAUGGACNGUCGUCAGCUCGUGUCGUGAGAUGUUGGGUUAAGUCCCGCAACGAGCGCAACCCUUGUCAUUAGUUGCUACAUUUAGUUGGGCACUCCUAAUGAGACUGCCGGUGACAAACCGGAGGAAGGUGGGGAUGACGUCAAGUCCUCAUGGCCCUUAUAGGUGGGGCUACACACGUCAUACAAUGGCUGGUACAAAGGGUUGCCAACCCGCGAGGGGGAGCUAAUCCCAUAAAACCAGUCGUAGUCCGGAUCGCAGUCUGCAACUCGACUGCGUGAAGUCGGAAUCGCUAGUAAUCGUGGAUCAGAAUGUCACGGUGAAUACGUUCCCGGGUCUUGUACACACCGCCCGUCACACCAUGGGAGCGGGUUCUGCCAGAAGUAGUUAGCCUAACCGCAAGGAGGGCGAUUACCACGGCAGGGUUCGUGACUGGGGUGAAGUCGUAANCAAGGUACC
rnacentral:rRNA from 1 species